AACCCAUGGUGAUGACACCUUCUCAAAAGGUCUUUGUAUCUCUCCCAUACAUCAUAGAGUGUUUCUAAAUCUAUCUGCACAAAAGAAGAGAUAUCAUUAUGUAAUU
rnacentral:snoRNA from 1 species